rnacentral:misc_RNA from 1 species
GAUGAAGAACGCAGCGAAAUGCGAUAAGUAAUGUGAAUUGCAGAAUUCAGUGAAUCAUCGAAUCUUUGAACGCACAUUGCGCCCGCCAGUAUUCUGGCGGGCAUGCCUGUUCGAGCGUCAUUUCAACCAUCAAGCCCCAGGCUUGUGUUGGGGUCCUGCGGCUGCCGCAGGCCCUGAAAAACAGUGGCGGGCUCGCUGUCACACCGAGCGUAGUAAUACAUCUCGCUUUGGACGUGCGGCGGGUUCUUGCCGUUAAACACCCCCCUUCUCAAGGUUGACCUCGUAUCAGGUAGGAAUACCCGCUGAACUUAAGCAUAUCAAUAAGCGGAGGA